rnacentral:siRNA from 1 species
UACAUUGCGGCUUACUUCGGUU